GAGUUUGAUCCUGGCUCAGGAUGAACGCUGGCGGCGUGCCUAAUACAUGCAAGUCGAGCGAACAGAUAAGGAGCUUGCUCCUUUGACGUUAGCGGCGGACGGGUGAGUAACACGUGGGUAACCUACCUAUAAGACUGGAAUAACUCCGGGAAACCGGGGCUAAUGCCGGAUAAUAUUUAGAACCGCAUGGUUCUAAAGUGAAAGAUGGUUUUACUAUCACUUAUAGAUGGACCCGCGCCGUAUUAGCUAGUUGGUGGGGUAAUGGCUUACCAAGGCAACGAUACGUAGCCGACCUGAGAGGGUGAUCGGCCACACUGGAACUGAGACACGGUCCAGACUCCUACGGGAGGCAGCAGUAGGGAAUCUUCCGCAAUGGGCGAAAGCCUGACGGAGCAACGCCGCGUGAGUGAUGAAGGUCUUCGGACCGUAAAACUCUGUUAUUAGGGAAGAACAAAUGUGUAAGUAACUGUGCACGUCUUGACGGUACCUAAUCAGAAA
rnacentral:rRNA from 1 species